AUUGAACGCUGGCGGCAGGCCUAACACAUGCAAGUCGAACGAGUGGCGGACGGGUGAGUAAUGUCCGGGAUACUGCCCGAUGGCGGGGGAUAACUACUGGAAACGGUAGCUAAUACCGCAUACCAUCGGAUGUGACCAGAUGGGAUUAGCUAGUAGGUGGGGUAACGGCUCACCUAGGCGACGAUCCCUCGCGGGUCUGAGAGGAUGACCAGCCCCACUGGAACGGAGACACGAUCCAACCUCCUACGGGAGGCAGCGGGGGGGAAUAUAGCACAGUGAGGGCAAGCCUAAUAAGGCCAUACGGCAUAUAGGAAGAAGUCCUUCGGGUUUUAAAGUACUUUCAGCGAGGAGACGUUACUCGCAGAAGAAGCAACGGCUAACUCCGUGCCAGCAGCCGCGGUAAUAC
rnacentral:rRNA from 1 species